UAGUGGCGAACGGGUGAGUAACACGUGAGUAACCUGCCCUUAACUCUGGGAUAAGCCUGGGAAACUGGGUCUAAUACCGGAUAUGACUCCUCAUCGCAUGGUGGGGGGUGGAAAGCUUUUUGUGGUUUUGGAUGGACUCGCGGCCUAUCAGCUUGUUGGUGAGGUAAUGGCUCACCAAGGCGACGACGGGUAGCCGGCCUGAGAGGGUGACCGGCCACACUGGGACUGAGACACGGCCCAGACUCCUACGGGAGGCAGCAGUGGGGAAUAUUGCACAAUGGGCGCAAGCCUGAUGCAGCGACGCCGCGUGAGGGAUGACGGCCUUCGGGUUGUAAACCUCUUUCAGUAGGGAAGAAGCGAAAGUGACGGUACCUGCAGAAGAAGCGCCGGCUAACUACGUGCCAGCAGCCGCGGUAAUACGUAGGGCGCAAGCGUUAUCCGGAAUUAUUGGGCGUAAAGAGCUCGUAGGCGGUUUGUCGCGUCUGCCGUGAAAGUCCGGGGCUCAACUCCGGAUCUGCGGUGGGUACGGGCAGACUAGAGUGAUGU
rnacentral:rRNA from 1 species